rnacentral:rRNA from 1 species
AGUCACUGACAUUAGAUACCCGUGUAGUCCAGGGUGUAAACGCUGCAGACUUGGUGUUGGAGGCCCUUUGGGGGCAUUCAGUGCCGGAGAGAAGUUGUUAAGUCUGCUACUUGGGAGUACGUCCGCAAGGAUGAAACUUAAGGAAUUGCGGGGAGCACCGCAACGGGAGGAGCGUGCGGUUUAAUUGGAUUCAACACCGUAAACUCACCAGGGAAGACUGUUACAUGAAGGCCGAGAUGAAGACUCUGCUAGAUUUCAG